AACGAACGCUGGCGGCGUGGAUAAGACAUGCAAGUCGAACGGGACCAGGUUUGUAGUAAUACCGACUUGGUUCAGUGGCGCACGGGUGCGUAACACGUGAAUAAUCUGCCUUGAAGUGGGGGAUAGCCCUGGGAAACUAGGAUUAAUACCGCAUGUGGUCGAGAGACUAAAGCAGCAAUGCGCUUUAAGAUGAGUUCGCGUCCUAUUAGCUAGUUGGUGAGGUAACUGCUCACCAAGGCCUUGAUAGGUAGCCGGUCUGAGAGGAUAUCCGGCCACACUGGAACUGAGACACGGUCCAGCCACCUACGGGUGGCAGCAGUCGAGAAUCAUUCACAAUGGGGGCAACCCUGAUGGUGCGACGCCGCGUGGGGGAAGAAUGUCUUCGGAUUGUAAACCCCUGUCAUGUGGGAGUAAGCUAGUGAUAGUUGAUAGUACCACAAGAGGAAGAGACGGCAAACUCUGUGCCAGCCGCCGCGGUAAUAC
rnacentral:rRNA from 1 species